AACGAACGCUGGCGGCAGGCUUAACACAUGCAAGUCGAGCGCCUCGCCCGAGGAGCGGCAGACGGGUGAGUAACGCGUGGGAACGUACCCUUAUCUUCGGCAUAGCUCUGGGAAACUGGAAGUAAUACCGAAUGUGCCCUUAGGGGGGAAGAUUUAUCGGAUAAGGAUCGGCCCGCGUUGGAUUAGCUAGUUGGUGGGGUAAAGGCCUACCAAGGCGACGAUCCAUAGCUGGUCUGAGAGGAUGAUCAGCCACAUUGGGACUGAGACACGGCCCAAACUCCUACGGGAAGCAGCAGUGGGGAAUAUUGGACAAUGGGCGCAAGCCUGAUCCAGCCAUGCCGCGUGAGUGAUGAAGGCCUUAGGGUUGUAAAGCUCUUUCACCGGAGAAGAUAAUGACGGUAUCCGGAGAAGAAGCCCCGGCUAACUUCGUG
rnacentral:rRNA from 1 species